UACGUAGGUGGCAAGCGUUGUCCGGAAUUAUUGGGCGUAAAGCGCGCGCAGGCGGUCCUUUAAGUCUGAUGUGAAAGCCCACGGCUCAACCGUGGAGGGUCAUUGGAAACUGGGGGACUUGAGUGCAGGAGAGAAGAGUGGAAUUCCACGUGUAGCGGUGAAAUGCGUAGAGAUGUGGAGGAACACCAGUGGCGAAGGCGGCUACCUGGCCCACUCUUGACGCUGAGGCGCGAAAGCUAGGGGAGCAAACGGG
rnacentral:rRNA from 1 species